AACGCACCUUGCGCUCUCUGGUAUUCCGGAGAGCAUGUCUGUUUCAGUGUCAUGAACUCUUCAACCCGCCCUUUUCUUAAUGAUUAGGAGUCGGUGCUUGGAUUCUGAGCUCUUGCUAUUAGCUUAGCUAGCUCGUAAGACAUUAGCAUUUCAAAUUCGUAAUCGGAUUGACUUGGCGUAAUAGACUAUUCGCUGAGGACACUCUUUAGUGGCCGAGACAAGAAAAGAAAAGCUUCCAACCUUUCUAGUCAAAUUUCAAGAUUAGACCUGAAAUCAGGCAGGAUUACCCGCUGAACUUAA
rnacentral:misc_RNA from 1 species